GAUGAACGCUGGCGAGAUGCCUUACACAUGCAAGUCGUACGAGAGUUUUUAACUCAAGUGGCGGACGGGUGAGUAACACGUAAGAAUUUGCCUUUAGGAGGGGGACAACAACUGGAAACGGUUGCUAAUACCCCAUAUGCUUUCGAGUGAAAUGGAUUUUCCGCCUAGAGAGAAGCUUGCGGCUGAUUAGCUUGUUGGUGAGGUAAUGGCUCACCAAGGCGACGAUCAGUAUCUGGUUUGAGAGGACGAUCAGACACACUGGAACUGAGACACGGUCCAGACUCCUACGGGAGGCAGCAGUGGGAAUAUUGCACAAUGGGGGAAACCCUGAUGCAGCAACGCCGCGUGGAGGAUGACGCAUUUCGGUGUGUAAACUCCUUUUAUCAGAGAAGAUUAUGACGGUAUCUGAUGAAUAAGCUCCGGCUAACUCCGUGCCAGC
rnacentral:rRNA from 1 species